ACUUUCCUCCCAGCUAACAUUGGUCCGACGGCAACGUCGUGUCCCUGGCCAAAAAUAGUCGCGGUAGGACGGCAUAAAUCCGUAAAAAUAUGUAACACAGAACUCUGCCUAAAAAUGCAUUCAGAUACGUUUGUACAUGCAUACAGUUCUCUGGGGUUGCAUAUAUAAUUAUUACUUUAAGUUUUAGCUCCGUGUAGUGCAAUACAUACACUGUUGUGAACCAGUUGUGAGAGGACGUCCACAAGGUGACGUCCUUUACACGUGCAUUUAUAGUCCAUCAUGACCCUGUAUGAAAUCAGUAUGAAAUAUGCAAAAGCAAUUGUGCUUACACCUUGAUUAUUACUGUAAUACUUUAUUUAAGUGCCCCAAGUAGUUUUAAGACGACCACGUCUAGUCAAGCAUUACCCAUUCAAAAUAAAUAAAGAAAUAAGUAAAUAAGUAAAUAAAAACAGGAAAUCGUAAUGAAAUAAACGUAAUUUGUAUUUCUAUCUUGUUUAAUUAAUAUUCACAAAGUGCCAUAUGGUUAAGUGAUUGCAAAGCCACUGAAUUUUAGUUAUAAUUCUACCCGUUUUCCAUAAAUUUCAAUACGAUUUUAUUAUUUUAAGUUUAUGCAUAUACAUAUAAAACAGAUAUCUCUGGUCAACAUUUGAAGUCUGAGUUGGGUGAAGAUUACCAAAACUGUGCUGCCAAGAUGUUGCAACAAAUCUCGCGGUGGGAUAGAUUAUCUCGCGAUAGGAUAGAUUAUCUCGCGAUGGGAUAGAUUAUCUCGCAAUACAAUACAUUAUCUCGCGAGAAAGCCUUAACGUUUUUCUUUCCAUAAACACAAGGAAAGCGCAUCGGUGUGUUGUAAGGCUUUACAAAUUAUUCUACUAAAAUCUACUGGUGGGUAAAAUUGUGUGCCCAACACAUUUAGAUGCAACGUGCCCGACCCCUGACUUGUUCAACACUACGUUAAGUUUGGAUGUUCAAAUCACACCUGCACGUACAAACCUAUCAACAUUCACGCCUUCACCAGUAGCAACUGGGCUGUCACACUUCCAGGAGGAAAGAACAGGACAAUUUACUCAAACCCUACUGGAUCUUCAAGUAAGACCGAGGCAAAGGCCCACAUCUCAUGAAACGGCUACCCCCAGAAUGGAUGCACAACAUGACACCAGUGGAGGUCGAGGUUAACAUCAACAACACUCGUGGACCCAUGGACACAUGUUGAGGCGGUCACAUAACGAACAGCCAUCUGUCAGACAGAGAAUUCAGGAACCCUCUUCCAGGCCAUGUGCCAGAACCGAAUGAGUAUUGUCUCCAGUCCCAAAUUCUUCAUUGCCAUCCCAGUCCCAGACGACCCCCCAGUGUAUCUGCAUUGCGGAGAGAGCACAGAAGUGAGGGUGGCACCAGACCCUCACGGAGCGCUUACCCUAUGUCAACUGCAAGAUUCCAAAGGAAGGUCUUUUUUUCAUGCUGUUUGGUUUAAAAGAAAACUUGUGAAUAUCUGCCAUUCUGGACCCUGGCAAGUCUACAUCAUCUUUUAAAAGACUGGAUUAAGAGAGUGACCUAAAAUCCUUUGAAGAAUACAUCAAAGAUGAUGAAAAGAAGUGGAUCUGUGUUCAGCAACUGUCCAGAGUUGGUGGAUCUUCUGUCAGGGACUGCGUUAACCAAAUCAUGAACAGAGUCAUGUCAAAUGCCUUAAUGGCCAAAUUCAAUAUGAGGGGUGGUGGCCAACAUGACAAAAAGCCUUUCAAAGCUACAGCUUUGUACUAUGUAAUUCAAGAUGGUGGAGUCCAACUGCCACAGAUUCCGAAAUUGACACAGCAAUGGCAGAACACCUAAAACAUGCUCAAGGAUAAGCUGGGGGUGGUGGCUAUAAGAAAUGAGCUGUGCUACAGAAAUGUGCUAUAGUAAACAUUUUGAAAUAAUAGUAAAUAAAUAAAGAUUAUAAAUAUA